GAUGAACGCUGGCGGUAUGCUUUACACAUGCAAGUCAAACGGGAGUUGGUUUCGGCCAACUCCAGUGGCGGACGGGUGAGUAACACGUGAGAAUUCGCCUUUAGGAGGGGGAUACCAGGGGGAAACACCUGCUAAAACCCCAUAUGCCUUCGGGUCAAAAGAGUAAUCUGCCUAAAGAGAAGCUCGCGGCUGAUUAGCUAGUUGGUGGGGGAAAGGCCUACCAAGGCGACGAUCAGUAGCUGGUCUGAGAGGAUGAUCAGCCACGACUGGAACUGAGACACGGUCCAGACUCCUACGGGAGGCAGUAGUGAGGAAUUUUCUGCAAUGGGCGAAAGCCUGACAGAGCAAUACCGCGUGAGGGAAGAAGGCUUACUGAGUUGUAAACCUCUGUUACCUAAGGAGGAAGAUCUGACGUUACUUAGGAGACGAAGCAUCGGCUAACUCCGUGCCAGCCGCCGCCGUAA
rnacentral:rRNA from 1 species